AUUACCGCGGCUGCUGGCACGUAGUUAGCCGUGGCUUUCUGGUUAAAUACCGUCAAAGUGUUAACAGUUACUCUAACACUUGUUCUUCUUUAACAACAGAGUUUUACGAUCCGAAAACCUUCAUCACUCACGCGGCGUUGCUCCAUCAGACUUUCGUCCAUUGUGGAAGAUUCCCUACUGCUGCCUCCCGUAGGAG
rnacentral:rRNA from 1 species